rnacentral:rRNA from 1 species
UAAUACGGAGGGUCCAAGCGUUGUCCGGAUUUAUUGGGUUUAAAGAGUGCGUAGGUGGUUUAUUAAGUCAGUGGUGAAAUCCUGCAGCUCAACUGUAGAACUGCCAUUGAAACUGAUAAACUUGAGUUUGGUUUAGGUAAGUGGAAUUUAUGAUGUAGCGGUGAAAUGCAUAGAUAUCAUAAGGAACACCAAUAGCGAAGGCAGCUUACUGGACCAUAACUGACACUGAGGCACGAAAGCGUGGGUAGCGAACAGGAUUAGAUACCCUGGUAGUCCACGCCGUAAACGAUGCCCACUCGAUGUUAGCGAUAUACUGUUAGCGUCCAAGCUAAAGCGUUAAGUGAGCCACCUGGGGAGUACGCCGGCAACGGUG